rnacentral:rRNA from 1 species
AUCAGUCACACUGGAACUGAGACACGGUCCAGACUCCUACGGGAGGCAGCAGUAGGGAAUAUUGCGCAAUGGGGGAAACCCUGACGCAGCAACGCCGCGUGGAGGAUGACACUUUUCGGAGCGUAAACUCCUUUUCUUAGGGAAGAAUUCUGACGGUACCUAAGGAAUAAGCACCGGCUAACUCCGUGCCAGCAGCCGCGGUAAUACGGAGGGUGCAAGCGUUACUCGGAAUCACUGGGCGUAAAGGGCGCGUAGGCGGAUUAUCAAGUCUCUUGUGAAAUCUAAUGGCUUAACCAUUAAACUGCUUGGGAAACUGAUAGUCUAGAGUGAGGGAGAGGCAGAUGGAAUUGGUGGUGUAGGGGUAAAAUCCGUAGAUAUCACCAAGAAUACCCAUUGCGAAGGCGAUCUGCUGGAACUCAACUGACGCUAAGGCGCGAAAGCGUGGGGAGCAAACAGGAUUAGAUACCCUGGUAGUCCACGCCCUAAACGAUGUACACUAGUUGUUGGGAUGCUAGUCAUCUCAGUAAUGCAGCUAACGCAUUAAGUGUACCGCCUGGGGAGUACGGUCGCAAGAUUAAAACUCAAAGGAAUAGACGGGGACCCGCACAAGCGGUGGAGCAUGUGGUUUAAUUCGAAGAUACGCGAAGAACCUUACCUGGGCUUGAUAUCCUAAGAACCUUAUAGAGAUAUGAGGGUGCUAGCUUGCUAGAACUUAGAGACAGGUGCUGCACGGCUGUCGUCAGCUCGUGUCGUGAGAUGUUGGGUUAAGUCCCGCAACGAGCGCAACCCACGUAUUUAGUUGCUAACGGUUCGGCCGAGCACUCUAAAUAGACUGCCUUCGUAAGGAGGAGGAAGGUGUGGACGACGUCAAGUCAUCAUGGCCCUUAUGCCCAGGGCGACACACGUGCUACAAUGGCAUAUACAAUGAGACGCAAUACCGCGAGGUGGAGCAAAUCUAUAAAAUAUGUCCCAGUUCGGAUUGUUCUCUGCAACUCGAGAGCAUGAAGCCGGAAUCGCUAGUAAUCGUAGAUCAGCCAUGCUACGGUGAAUACGUUCCCGGGUCUUGUACUCACCGCCCGUCACACCAUGGGAGUUGAUUUCACUCGAAGCCGGAAUACUAAACUAGUUACCGUCCACAGUGGAAUCAGCGACUGGGGUGAAGUCGUAACAAGGUAACCGUAGGAGAACCUGCGGUUGGAUCACCUCCUUU